rnacentral:rRNA from 1 species
GUGCCUAAUACAUGCAAGUAGAACGCUGAAGAGAGUAGCUUGCUCUUCUUGGAUGAGUUGCGAACGGGUGAGUAACGCGUAGGUAACCUGCCUUGUAGCGGGGGAUAACUAUUGGAAACGAUAGCUAAUACCGCAUAACAAUGGAUGACACAUGUCAUUUAUUUGAAAGGGGCAAUUGUUCCACUACAAGAUGGACCUGCGUUGUAUUAGCUAGUAGGUGAGGUAAUGGCUCACCUAGGCGACGAUACAUAGCCGACCUGAGAGGGUGAUCGGCCACACUGGGACUGAGACACGGCCCAGACUCCUACGGGAGGCAGCAGUAGGGAAUCUUCGGCAAUGGGGGCAACCCUGACCGAGCAACGCCGCGUGAGUGAAGAAGGUUUUCGGAUCGUAAAGCUCUGUUGUAAGUCAAGAACGGGUGUGAGAGUGGAAAGUUCACACUGUGACGGUAGCUUACCAGAAAGGGACGGCUAACUACGUGCCAGCAGCCGCGGUAAUACGUAGGUCCCGAGCGUUGUCCGGAUUUAUUGGGCGUAAAGCGAGCGCAGGCGGUUUGAUAAGUCUGAAGUUAAAGGCUGUGGCUCAACCAUAGUUCGCUUUGGAAACUGUCAAACUUGAGUGCAGAAGGGGAGAGUGGAAUUCCAUGUGUAGCGGUGAAAUGCGUAGAUAUAUGGAGGAACACCGGUGGCGAAAGCGGCUCUCUGGUCUGUAACUGACGCUGAGGCUCGAAAGCGUGGGGAGCGAACAGGAUUAGAUACCCUGGUAGUCCACGCCGUAAACGAUGAGUGCUAGGUGUUGGAUCCUUUCCGGGAUUCAGUGCCGCAGCUAACGCAUUAAGCACUCCGCCUGGGGAGUACGACCGCAAGGUUGAAACUCAAAGGAAUUGACGGGGGCCCGCACAAGCGGUGGAGCAUGUGGUUUAAUUCGAAGCAACGCGAAGAACCUUACCAGGUCUUGACAUCCCGAUGCUAUUUCUAGAGAUAGAAAGUUACUUCGGUACAUCGGUGACAGGUGGUGCAUGGUUGUCGUCAGCUCGUGUCGUGAGAUGUUGGGUUAAGUCCCGCAACGAGCGCAACCCCUAUUGUUAGUUGCCAUCAUUCAGUUGGGCACUCUAGCGAGACUGCCGGUAAUAAACCGGAGGAAGGUGGGGAUGACGUCAAAUCAUCAUGCCCCUUAUGACCUGGGCUACACACGUGCUACAAUGGUUGGUACAACGAGUUGCGAGUCGGUGACGGCGAGCUAAUCUCUUAAAGCCAAUCUCAGUUCGGAUUGUAGGCUGCAACUCGCCUACAUGAAGUCGGAAUCGCUAGUAAUCGCGGAUCAGCACGCCGCGGUGAAUACGUUCCCGGGCCUUGUACACACCGCCCGUCACACCACGAGAGUUUGUAACACCCGAAGUCGGUGAGGUAACCUUUUGGAGCCAGCCGCCUAAGGUGGGACAGAUGAUUGGGGUG